rnacentral:lncRNA from 1 species
AGAGUUGUCCCUAGUUGAGGGAAGAAGAACCAGCUAUUUACGUCCCUCCAUCCGCAGUCUUAGUGGGGGACCAUCUUAUGAAGGGGUAAUCUUAGACAUGACAUCUUCUAUGGCUUAGAGCAGGGGUCUUGUGGGCCUCACUGUCUCUGUCACAACUACUUCAAUCUGCUGAUGUAGAGCAAAAGCAGCCAUAGACAAUAUGUAAACAAAGGGCAUAGCUGCGUUCCAAUGAAACUUUAUGCGCUAAAACAGGUAGCCAACUCGUGGGCCAUAGUCUGCUAACCCAAGGCCUAGAGUUAUUCUCACUGAGAGGCACAGCUCUGAGACAUCAGCAGUUGAUAUUCCCGGAAGCUGGGGGAUGAGUUCUUAACCCUCAAUUGCAGGUUUGGGCAGAGCACCAUAGGUGCGCUGCAGUUCCCGCCUCGCACGUUUCGGAUCUACAUGCUUCUUAUGAAGAACAGAGCCUCCCAGCAACCUGCUUGGCAUACUCUCCACUCAAUGAGCACACAUAGCAGGAAUCCACUCUAAUUUUGUCGGAGAGAGAGGAACUGAGUCACACCAUAUUAGGUUUGGCCAACUCUUAAUCAGAAGUUUGCUGUAAAUUAUGGCGGUUGAGGGCACCACAAGCUUUGAGGACAUGGGAGAUUAUUGCUGAGAAAGCUGAAAUUUUCAACAGAAAUUCCGGGAAGCCAGAAGUCUCUGGGAUGCUGAGUUCCCCAGGCAAUCAGGCACAUUGAAUCCAAAGUCCCUCCGAGGACACAGGAUACCUGGAGUUUUUUUCCUUUGGUACAACAUGGAAGGAAGAGGCAGCCACAAUAAAAGAGUCAAGAGUUGAGUCAUUCUACCAAGUAAAGAAGCCUGUCCAAUUGAAGUGUUGGUGGAGAGUAAAACGAAUACAGAAUUUGAGGAGGACCAAAGCAGAACCCAGAGGCUUUGCCCUUCCCCUGCUGUCUCCAGAUGUCCACGGCAGCACGUGGCGAUACUGCUGUGCUCAAGGACUUAACAAAAGUCUCACAGUCACACCAGCAGCUUCAUCUUUAGACAAUGUUUUUCAAGCACUACCCUGGAUUCGACGUUUGCUCAGAGCCAUUUGUUUACUUUUAUCAUUUGCUAUGUGGAGAGGCUGAGAAUCUUCAAAAUGAUCAAGCCCUGGCUCAUUUUGUUUACCAGUCGUUCCUUCUAUUUCUCUCUCUCAUCUUG